UACCAGCACCCCCGAGUGGUCGGGACGUUUAUUGGCCUAAAGCAUCCGUAGCCGGUUCUACAAGUCUUCCGUUAAAUCCACCUGCUUAACAGAUGGGCUGCGGAAGAUACUAUGGAGCUAGGAGGCGAGAGAGGCAAGCGGUACUCGAUGGGUAGGGGUAAAAUCCGUUGAUCCAUUGAAGACCACCAGUGGCGAAGGCGGCUUGCCAGAACGCGCUCGACGGUGAGGGAUGAAAGCUGGGGGAGCAAACCGG
rnacentral:rRNA from 1 species